CAGCAGCCGCGGGAAAACAGAGGGUGCGAGCGUUAAUCGGAUUUACUGGGCGUAAAGCGUGCGUAGGCGGCUUUUUAAGUCGGAUGUGAAAUCCCUGAGCUUAACUUAGGAAUUGCAUUCGAUACUGGGAAGCUAGAGUAUGGGAGAGGAUGGUAGAAUUCCAGGUGUAGCGGUGAAAUGCGUAGAGAUCUGGAGGAAUACCGAUGGCGAAGGCAGCCAUCUGGCCUAAUACUGACGCUGAGGUACGAAAGCAUGGGGAGCAAACAGGAUUAGAUACCCCGGUAGUCCCUGUCUCUUAUAC
rnacentral:rRNA from 1 species